AAACUCUUUCCUUUGGUUGUCACUAGUUAUCCCAGCCACAACGUCGAAAUUGGCUCGUACAAAUUCAUGAAAUCAGACAUUUACUUUUUGGUCAUUAUAUAAGCAACCACCGUUCCAGAUAUGACUGGAUGGACAACUCCCAUCCCCCUGUCAAACGUCGUUAGUCACUGGCGCGUUUUUUUUAACCAGUGUAGAAUUUACUCAUGCAGCUGAUUGAUUAAAUGGAGCAAUGCAUUGUCACCACUGCUGUAUUCUAAUA
rnacentral:lncRNA from 1 species